rnacentral:rRNA from 1 species
AUUGAACGCUGGCGGCAUGCCUUACACAUGCAAGUCGAACGGCAGCACGGGAGCAAUCCUGGUGGCGAGUAGCGAACGGGUGAGUAAUAUAUCGGAACGUGCCCGGUCGUGGGGGAUAACGUAGCGAAAGCUACGCUAAUACCGCAUACGAUCUAUGGAUGAAAGCGGGGGAUCGCAAGACCUCGCGCGAUUGGAGCGGCCGAUAUCAGAUUAGGUAGUUGGUGAGGUAAAGGCUCACCAAGCCGACGAUCUGUAGCUGGUCUGAGAGGACGACCAGCCACACUGGGACUGAGACACGGCCCAGACUCCUACGGGAGGCAGCAGUGAGGAAUAUUGGACAAUGGGCGCAAGCCUGAUCCAGCCAUGCCGCGUGCAGGAUGACGGUCCUAUGGAUUGUAAACUGCUUUUAUACAGGAAGAAACACUCCGACGUGUCGGAGCUUGACGGUACUGUAAGAAUAAGGAUCGG